rnacentral:rRNA from 1 species
UACGGGGGGGGUAAGCGUUGUUCGGAAUUACUGGGCGUAAAGGGCUCGUAGGCGGCCAACUAAGUCAGACGUGAAAUCCCUCAGCUUAACUGGGGAACUGCGUCUGAUACUGGAUGGCUUGGAUUCGGGAGAGGAAUGCGGAAUUCCAGGUGUAGCGGUGAAAUGCGUAGAUAUCGGGAGGAACACCAAUGGCGAAGGCAGCUCGCUGGGACGUUACUGACGCUGAGACGCGAAAGCGUGGGGAGCAAACAGG